rnacentral:rRNA from 1 species
CAAUAGCGUAUAUUAAAGUUGUUGCGGUUAAAAAGCUCGUAGUUGGAUUUCUGCUGAGGACGACCGGUCCGCCCUCUGGGUGAGUAUCUGGCUUGGCCUUGGCAUCUUCUUGGAGAACGUAGCUGCACUUGACUGUGUGGUGCGGUAUCCAGGACUUUUACCUUGAGGAAAUAGGAGUGUUCCAAGCAGGCUCUCGUCGUGCACAGCUCAGCAUGGAAUAAUAGCAUUGGACCUCGAUUCUAAGCUGUUGGUUGCCAGAAGCGAGGUAAUGAUGAAGAGGGAUAGUUGGGGGCAUUCGUAUUUAACUGUCAGAGGUGAAAUUCUUGGAUUUGUUGAAGACGGACUACUGCGAAAGCAUCUGCCAAAGAUGUUCUCAUUGAUCAAGAACGAAAGUUAGGUGAUCGAAGACGAUCAGAUACCGU